rnacentral:misc_RNA from 1 species
GAUGAAGAACGCAGCGAAAUGCGAUAAGUAGUGUGAAUUGCAGAAUUCAGUGAAUCAUCGAAUCUUUGAACGCACAUUGCGCCCCUUGGUAUUCCAUGGGGCAUGCCUGUUCGAGCGUCAUUUGUACCUUCAAGCUCUGCUUGGUGUUGGGUGUUUGUCUCGCCUCUGCGUGUAGACUCGCCUCAAAACAAUUGGCAGCCGGCGUAUUGAUUUCGGAGCGCAGUACAUCUCGCGCUUUGCACUCAUAACGACGACGUCCAAAAGUACAUUUUUACACUCAUGACCUCGGAUCAGGUAGGGAUACCCGCUGAACUUAAGCAUAUCAAUAAGCGGAGGA